rnacentral:ncRNA from 1 species
CCCCGUACACCUGUGCGGGGCCUGUAUUCUGCAUUUGUAACCAAGGGGUCUGCUCGUG